ACAAUAAAGAAAGUUUGACUGAAAGAGUUCUCUGCAAAACUAUACAUUGGGGAAGAUGGGCAGUUGUGUUUCAUCCUCUUGUUGAGAUAUUUCAACAAUCAUCUUCCGUACAUUC